rnacentral:misc_RNA from 1 species
AACCAUAGAAACCUGCGGAGUACCUGCGGAGGGAUCAUUACCGAGUUUACAACUCCCAAACCCCUGUGAACAUACCUAUACGUUGCCUCGGCGGAUCAGCCCGCGCCCUGUAAAAAGGGACGGCCCGCCCGAGGACCCCUAAACUCUGUUUUUAGUGGAACUUCUGAGUAAAACAAACAAAUAAAUCAAAACUUUCAACAACGGAUCU